UUGAAUAAGGAUGUUUUUGGUACUCUAUCAAGAGUUUAAUAGGGAAAAUGGUGAAAUACCAUUACAGCCCCCGCUACUGUAAGCGAAUACAAAGUGAUAUACCCACUGGAAUUUAUAUUCUGGGAAGGAUCACGGAGGAUAAGUCGCAAGUCAGGAGACCUGCCUAAAGCAUACAUACAUA
rnacentral:ncRNA from 2 species